rnacentral:lncRNA from 1 species
AUCUCUUGGAGCUCUAGCUCACCUCUCUAGUGUUGUUCUUGUAUUCAUCUGAUUAAUCUAGUUCUUGCCAGUUCUUCUUGAACUUCUUGUUAGAUCUCGAGUCUGUAUUUCUGUGUCCGUGACAGUUUGUCGAGACUUCACUCACCUCAGAUAUCAGAGCUAGUUUCUUCUUUGUUAGAGUGUGGAUUAUUCCUCUGCUUGAAGGUGUACUAGCACUUUAGAGGUUGCGGAUUACCCUCCUCUAAAUUGAUACUUCUUUUGUUACAAUAUUGGAGUCUUAUUCUUCUUGGAGAGAGUGGAUUACCCCUUUUCUUGAAGCUCUUAAGGCAUUUUAGAGGUUGCGGAGUACCCUCCUCUAAACCAAUAUUUUCUUCUUGUAGAGUCAUUUCUGUCCUUCUCUUAGAAUGGUCAGGGGCCAAGACAUUAGUAUGACAAAAAAUUCAGAGUCCAAGUUAGAUGCUAUCAUGAAUGCCCUCGCUACGUUAUCGCAAAGAACUGUAGAGAUUGAAGGAGUCGUGGCAAGGCUUCAUAAUGAUGGAGCAUCUGGG